ensembl:lncRNA
GGGUCACACACAGGAACAGGAACAAUGCCGUCCUUUCACUGAAGCCGUGAGGCAGUAGGACCCAGCGAUCUGCUGCCGCCUCUUCUGCCCUCCUCUUCAGGCUCCUCUAGUUCCAGAGCUGAGCGAGACAGGAGAACAGAGUGCAGAGAGAGAAGGAGGGGGAAAGACUGAGAGAAAGAGAGAGCGAGAGAGAGAGAGAGAGAGAGAGAGAGAGAGAGAAGCGGCGUGAAUGUUCAAGCCCACUGUGCUCCCUGCUACAAUCCUGAAUCUGUGGAAUGGACGGAUUAACCCGUGGGAUUUAAACAUUUUGGAGCUGGAGCUGAAGCUCAUGAGGAGGCGUCCAAUCAGGAGAAGAUCGGGAUUCAAAGACAGGAAGCAGAAGGAAGUGUAGUUAGUAUCGCAGAACAAAAGCUAGUGACACGAGCAGAGAAAGAGCCUCCGGGUUUCAGCACGGGCCCCACAAAGAGUCCCGA